rnacentral:misc_RNA from 1 species
UCUCCGUAGGUGAACCUGCGGAGGGAUCAUUACCGAGUGAGGGUUCCGGCCCGACCUCCAACCCUUUGUGAAUUCGACCCAGUUGCCUCGGGGGCGACCCUGCCUUUGUGCGAGGCGCCCCCGGAGGCUCACUAAACACUGCAUCUCUGCGUCGGAGUUUAAAACAAAUUAAACAAAACUUUCAACAACGGAUCUCUUGGUUCUGGCAUCGAUGAAGAACGCAGC